rnacentral:rRNA from 1 species
UACGUAGGGGGCAAGCGUUGUCCGGAUUCAUUGGGCGUAAAGAGCGUGUAGGCGGCCAGGUAGGUCGGUUGUGAAAACUGGAGGCUCAACCUUCAGACGUCGACCGAAACCAUCUGGCUAGAGUGCGGAAGAGGCGAGUGGAAUUCCUGGUGUAGCGGUGAAAUGCGCAGAUAUCAGGAGGAACACCAAUUGCGAAGGCAGCUCGCUGGGACGUGACUGACGCUGAGACGCGAAAGCGUGGGGAGCAAACAGG